CACGUAGGGUGCGAGCGUUGUCCGGAAUUAUUGGGCGUAAAGAGCUCGUAGGCGGUGUGUCGCGUCGGCCGUGAAAACCUGCAGCUUAACUGUGGGCUUGCGGUCGAUACGGGCAUCACUGGAGUUCGGCAGGGGAGACUGGAAUUCCUGGUGUAGCGGUGAAAUGCGUAGAUAUCUGGAGGAAUACCGGUGGCGAAGGCGGCAUCCUGGACCGACAUUGACGCUGAUGAGCGAAAGCCAGGGGAGCAAACGGG
rnacentral:rRNA from 1 species